UGUGGCUUAGUGGUAGAGUGUUCAUCUUGCACGUGUGAGGCCCUGGGUUCAAUCCUCAGCA
rnacentral:tRNA from 1 species